rnacentral:rRNA from 1 species
AUACGUAGGGUGCAAGCGUUAAUCGGAAUUACUGGGCGUAAAGCGUGCGCAGGCGGUUUUGUAAGACAGAGGUGAAAUCCCCGGGCUCAACCUGGGAACUGCCUUUGUGACUGCAAGGCUAGAGUACGGCAGAGGGGGAUGGACCUCCGCGUGUAGCAGUGAAAUGCGUAGAUAUGCGGAGGAACACCGAUGGCGAAGGCAAUCCCCUGAGCCUGUACUGACGCUCAUGCACGAAAGCGUGGGGAGCAAACAGGAUUAGAUACCCUGGUAGUCCACGCCCUAAACGAUGUCAACUGGUUGUUGGGUCUUCAUUGACUCAGUAACGAAGCUAACGCGUGAAGUGGACCGCCUGGGGAGUACGGCCGCAAGGUUGAAACUUAAAGGAAUUGACGGGG